rnacentral:rRNA from 1 species
UACAGAGGUCUCAAGCGUUGUUCGGAUUCAUUGGGCGUAAAGGGUGCGUAGGCGGCGCGGUAAGUCGGGUGUGAAAUCUCGGGGCUUAACUCCGAAACUGCAUUCGAUACUGCCGUGCUUGAGGACUGGAGAGGAGACUGGAAUUUACGGUGUAGCGGUGAAAUGCGCAGAUAUCGGGGGGAACACCAAUGGCGAAGGCAAUCCCCUGGGCCUGCACUGACGCUCAUGCACGAAAGCGUGGGGAGCAAACAGG